UCAUCCCACCAGCCUGCCCGGCUGCCUGUGCCUUGCUGAAUGCCGGCAGGCUCCGACCAGGCAAUGCUUCCCCAGGGCGAGCGGGGAUGGUCGGGGUGACACAGCCAGCUGGAUGGAGCCGAAUGGUUUCUGGUGGAGAGCAGCGGGGAGGAUGAGUUCACUGCGUCAGAAUCAAGCUGUUUCCGCCUCCUCCCUGCUUAAUGGUUCGAACUGGGGCUUUGUCCCCCCCUGCACAUGCAAGGAGGUUGUGGGGGUCACAGACCUGCUGGCAGGGCAGCCUUUGUCCCCUCAGCGGGCAGCUCGGGGCAGAGCAGGCGCUCACAGCUCCUGCGUUUCCCCCUGCAAGCCCCAAGACAGAAUGACGGGUGCGCGCAUGGCUCAGGGGCUGCACGAGUGAGUCCGUAAGCAUCUGGAAUGUGGCUGGGAGCUGGGUGGAUGGACCACGUCACACGCGGGAUGCACCUCCAUCCUCAUCCUCGCGCCUCGGGGUGGGGGGGAAUGAGAGCACAUCCAACACCCACCGCUUCGGAGCGAGACGAGGGACUUCUGAAACCCCAGCUUGCUGCUUGCCCCUCCUCGCCUCAAGUGUGCCCACCCGUAAGAUGGGGUCACGCCGCGGGGCAGCACACCCCACACCCCCCCACACGCGACGCAGCGGGCGGGGGGGAGCAGCGUGCCCCGGCCAAGGCAGCUGGAGGAGGAGCGGGUCGGGGAGCUGCCGGGGUGGCCAAGGUUUCCCCAGGGGACUGAGG